GGUUGGAUCCCGGCCUUGUGCGGUGACGUCCUACCUUGCUAUCCUCUUCAUUGUUGGCGUAAUUUUUGUUGGCCGUUUGUCGGUUUCCUGUGUUUCGUACCUACUUGAUGGUAUUCGAUUGCUGAUCUCUCUCCGUUCGCCUAAGGCUGCCUCGAUGCGGUUGCGGGUGAAACUCGAAACGGGAUUCUGUGUCCCCCGUACUGCACGUUCUUGUAGGUAUCGCGGUCCAUGAAUUCUCGCUCGAGCGUUGGGUUACAGAAAACGAUUAAGGGCAUGGGGUCUUCGGCUCCUAUCUGUCCGCAAAGGCUUGAGGGCCUAUUUCGAACGACGUUCGGUCCCGUUCCGGUCUGGUGCCGUGCGGGUCGAUGUCCGUGAGGAAUGCUAC
rnacentral:misc_RNA from 1 species